GAUUAACGCUAGCGGCAGGCAUAAUACAUGCAAGUUGAACGGCAGCACAGGUAGCACUCCUGGGUGGCGAGUGGCGCACGGGUGCGUAACACGUAUGCAACCUACCCUAUACAGGCGAAUAACCUUUAGAAAUGAGGGCUAAUACGCCGUAGUAUUACAGAUGGGCAUCUAUUUGUAAUUAAAGAUUUAUCGGUAUAGGAUGGGCAUGCGUCCCAUUAGUUAGUUGGUAAGGUAACGGCUUACCAAGACGAUGAUGGGUAGGGGAUCUGAGAGGACUUACCCCAACACUGGUACUGAGACACGGACCAGACUCCUACGGGAGGCAGCAGUAAGGAAUAUUGGGCAAGGGCCGCGAGGCUGACCCAGCCAUGCCGCGUGCAGGAAGACGGCCUUAUGGGUUGUAAACUGCUUUUAUACGGGAAUAAUAGAGUGUACGCGUACAUUUAUGCAAGUAUCGUAGGAAAAGCAUCGGCUAACUCCGUG
rnacentral:rRNA from 1 species